UGUUUCGGCAAGGGGGUCAUCCCGACUUACCAACCCGAUGCAAACUGCGAAUACCGGAGAAUGUUAUCACGGGAGACACACGGCGGGUGCUAACGUCCGUCGUGAAGAGGGAAACAACCCAGACCGCCAGCUAAGGUCCCAAAGUCAUGGUUAAGUGGGAAACGAUGUGGGAAGGCCCAGACAGCCAGGAUGUUGGCUUAGAAGCAGCCAUCAUUUAAAGAAAGCGUAAUAGCUCACUGGUCGAGUCGGCCUGCGCGGAAGAUGUAACGGGGCUAAACCAUGCACCGAAGCUGCGGCAGCGACGCUUAUGCGUUGUUGGGUAGGGGAGCGUUCUGUAAGCCUGUGAAGGUGUGCUGUGAGGCAUGCUGGAGGUAUCAGAAGUGCGAAUGCUGACAUAAGUAACGAUAAAGCGGGUGAAAAGCCCGCUCGCCGGAAGACCAAGGGUUCCUGUCCAACGUUAAUCGGGGCAGGGUGAGUCGACCCCUAAGGCGAGGCCGAAAGGCGUAG
rnacentral:rRNA from 1 species